AGUCAGGUGUUGGUAGUUGGAGUGGUCUGUUAUACUGUCCAAUAUUUUGGUAAUUCCUGUUAUGAAUUUUAUAUAUUAUGAAAUAGUCAAUUGUUAAUGGUAAGAAAUUACUGGCAUAAUUUCAUGCAUGUUUAUUGACUGGCCGUUAGGGAAUGUUGUAGAACGUGAGAAUUAAGAAUGAUAAUCAAGCUGCAGGAGUGGGAGUGGCAACAUGGCUGUUAGGGAAUGUUGUAGAACGUGAGAAUUAAGAAUGAUAAUCAAGCUGCAGGAGUGGGAGUGGCAACAUGGCUGUUAGGGAAUGCUGUAGAGUGUGAGAAUUAAGAAUGAUAAUCCAGCUGCAGGAGUGGGAGUGGCAACAUGGCUGUUAGGGAAUGUUGUAGAAUGUGAGAAUUAAGAAUGAUAAUCCAGCUGCAGGAGUGGGAGUGGCAACAUGGCCGUUAGGGAAUGUUGUAGAAUGUGAGAAUUAAGAAUGAUAAUCCAGCUGCAGCAGUGGGAGUGGCAACAUGGCUGUUAGGGAAUAUUGUAUAAUGUGAGAAUUAAGAAUGGUAAUCCAGCUGCAGGAGUGGGAGUGGCAACAUGGCCGUUAGGGAAUGUUGUAGAAUGUGAGAAUUAAGAAUGAUAAUCCAGCUGUGGGAGUGGCAACAUGGCCAUUAGGGAAUGUUGUAGAAUGUGAUAAUUAAGAAUGAUAAUCCAGCUGCAGGAGUGGGAGUGGCAACAUGGCCGUUAGGGAAUGUUGUAGAAUGUGAGAAUUAAGAAUGAUAAUCCAGCUGCAGGAGUGGGAGUGGCAACAUGGCCGUUAGGGAAUAUUGUAGAAUGUGAGAAUUAAGAAUGAUAAUCCAGCUGCAGGAGUGGGAGUGGCAACAGCUUAAACUCUUUGUCUUAAGGUUUAUAUUUCAGAAGGUAUAGCAGCUAAAUAAUCCAUAUUUUAUAUACAGUGUACAUAAGCUUUGAAGUUUUAAUCUGGCUUGUUGUCUUUGGCUUAUUUUCAUAGUUCAGUGACUACUAAAGUUUUUUUUUUAUAGUUUUUUUAUCACUUGAUUUGUCCAGUUUUUAUGAGUAAAAUGGCAACUAUAUUUAUUAGUAGAAUUAUUGCAAGGUCUGCAUGUCAGUCAGAUGGUUCACCAGACCAUGACCUCAUUUCAUGUUUCAUUGAUCAAGGUUCAGUUUUCAUGAUAAUUUCCAUUUCUGAGUAAUACAUAUACAGACUGAGGUCAUUUGAUCAUUGUUGCUUCUGUCUUGUAGACUGAGGUCAUUCAAUCAUUGUUGCUUCUGUCUUGUAGACUGAGGUCAUUUGAUCAUUGUUGAUUCUGUCAUGACGACUGAGGUCAUUUGAUCAUUGUUGAUUCUGUCUUGUAGACUUAGGUAAUUUGAUCAUUGUUGAUUCUGUCAUGACGACUGAGGUCAUUUGAUCAUUGUUGAUUCUGUCUUGCAGACUUAGGUCAUUUUAUCAUUGUUGAUUCUGUCUUGCAGACUUAGGUCAUUUGAUCAUUGUUGAUUCUGUCUUGCAGACUUAGGUCAUUUGAUCAUUGUUGAUUCUGUCUUGCAGACUUUGGUCAUUUGAUCAUUGUUGAUUCUGUCUUGCAGACUGAGGUCAUUUGAUCAUUGUUGAUUCUGUCUUGCAGACUUAGGUCAUUUGAUCAUUGUUGAUUCUGUCUUGCAGACUUAGGUCCUUUGAUCAUUGUUGAUUCUGUCUUGUAGACUUAGGUCAUUUGAUCAUUGUUGAUUCUGUCAUGACGACUGAGGUCAUUUGAUCAUUGUUGAUUCUGUCAUGACGACUGAGGUCAUUUGAUCAUUGUUGAUUCUGUCAUGACGACUGAGGUCAUUCGAUCAUUGUUGAUUCUGUCUUGCAGACUGAGGUCAUUUGAUCAUUGUGUCAUUUGAUAUGAAAUAGAGAUCAGUUACAGAGAUGUCAAAUUCACAAGUACAUUUUGGAAUGAUGUCCAUAAUUAAAUAUCUAUGACACAUUUUGUUGCCAUGGCAGUGUCAAUUUGGCACAGACAUUUUGUUAUUUGUGAUGUGAUCUUGCAUGAUGAAACUGUGUAAUUUAAUUUAAUUUUGUCAUGAUAGGUGUCUUUAAUAUAAAAAUAGAGGAUGUGGUAUGAUUGGCAAUGAGACAACUCUUUACCAGAGAUCAAAUGAUGUAGAAGUUAGCAACUAUUGGUCCCCAUACAGCCAUCAACAAUGAGCAAAAGCCAUACUGCAUAGCAAGCUAUAAAAGGCCAUGAAAUGACAAAUGUAAAACACUUCAAAUGAGAAAACUAACUGCCUGAUAAAAGCACAAAAAAAUAAAAAAAAACAAAUAUAAGAUACAGCAAUAAACAACAACCACUGAAUUACAGGCUCCUGAAUUGAGACAGGUACAUGCUGUAUGGGUUUUGCUCAUUGUUGAAGGCCGUACAGUCACCUAUAGUUGUUAAACUCUAUGUCAUUUGAUCUCUGGUGGAGAGUUGUCUCAUUGUCAGUCAUACCACAUCUUCUUAUUUUUAUACAUAAAAAACAACAUUGUUUUGAAUUUAAGAUUAUCCCAUUGAGUAUUGAUUUACAGAAAGGGUAACUAAGAAUAAAAAAAGAUAAUUUGUAUAAUAAGCUUGAUAUUUUUUCUUAAUUACUUACAAGAAAAACAUUUAUCAUUCAGUGAUUAUGGAGUGUGCUGCUAUUUAAUUAAUGUUUAGUAGAUACACAAAUUCUCCUAUCUUUCAGUAGAUGUUCAAUUUAUUUUUAUGAUUAGUUGCUAUAAAUGACCACUUUUAACUGAAAACCAUAUAUUAAAUUAGGCAUUAUGAAACACCAUUUACCCAAUUAUUUCAUCAAAAUUGAUGGUAUAAAAUUAACUUAAGAAAUAAUUCUUUCAUUCCAUGCUCUAUGCUCAUUUUAACAUGGGUAGGUGUUAUAUUUGUCAUCAUCUUUAUGCCAAGUGUUAGUGAGGUACAAAAUGUUGACAAAUAUAAUGCCUACUUAUGUUUCAAUGAGCAUAGAGAGUGGCAUGAUAGAAUUAUUUUGAUUCUAAUAGGAAAAUUUAGAACUUGUGUAUAGAUAUAAGAAGAUGUGGUAUGAGUGCCAAUGAGACAACUCUCCAUCCAAGUCAAAAUUUAUAAAAGUAAACCAUUAUAGGUCACAGUACGGUCUUCAACACGGAGCCUUGGCUCACACCGAACAGUAAGCUAUAAAGGGCCCUAAAAAAUUACUAGUGUAAAACCAUUCAAACGGGAAAACCAACGGUCUAAUCUAUAUAAAAAACGAGAAACGAGAAACACUUAUGAACCACAUCAACAAACGACAACUACUGAACAUCAGAUUCCUACAUGACUUAGAAGCACUUUAAAAAAAGUGAUUUUAUUUAAUGAAGCUAAAAAUCGACCGUUUCCAACCGUUAAAAAUUGAAGAGAUUAUUUUAAGAACGAUUUUAUUUAAUUUCCAAGUGAGCAACACAGAGCAACCUCAGGCAUCAUUCAAAAUACAAUUGAUGUUGUAAAUUUAAUUGUGACAUCAAUCACGAGCAUCCCAUGAUCUAUUUGAAUUAUAUAUUAGAACAUGGUUUUGUUUACAAAGCCAAAGAAGAAUGUCAUAUUAAAAGAGAAAACUUAUUUUUACUUUGUUUUAAUAAUACAUACAUAAAGCUGUAAGAUGUGCUUUUGUGUUUCUUCCUGAUAUGCUGUGGCUAAGGAUUUUUAUGAAUGCACAUUUUAAAUGAAGUAGAGAAAAUUUAACAAUAUAUAACAGCUUUUUUUCUUUU